CCUACGGGGGGCGGCAGUGGGGAAUAUUGGACAAUGGGGGGAACCCUGAUCCAGCCAUGCCGCGUGUGUGAAGAAGGCCCUCGGGUUGUAAAGCACUUUCAGUGAGGAAGAACGCCUGGUGGUUAAUACCCAUCAGGAAAGACAUCACUCACAGAAGAAGCACCGGCUAACUCCGUGCCAGCAGCCGCGGUAAUACGGAGGGUGCGAGCGUUAAUCGGAAUUACUGGGCGUAAAGCGCGCGUAGGUGGCUUGAUAAGCCGGUUGUGAAAGCCCCGGGCUCAACCUGGGAACGGCAUCCGGAACUGUCAAGCUAGAGUGCAGGAGAGGAAGGUAGAAUUCCCGGUGUAGCGGUGAAAUGCGUAGAGAUCGGGAGGAAUACCAGUGGCGAAGGCGGCCUUCUGGACUGACACUGACACUGAGGUGCGAAAGCGUGGGUAGCAAACAGGAUUAGAUACCCGGGUAGUC
rnacentral:rRNA from 1 species